CUCCUGGGGCUCCCGAGCGCCCUGCCACUCAGUCCCCCAGCUCAGGGAGGCGUCUCCCGGCUUCGGUCCCUUUCAGCUUAAGCUGGCGUCACAUGAACCGCGGGGGAAUGGGCACCGCGGGAGUGGGCGGGGGUGUGCGCGCUGGGAGGGGGCCGCCCAGUCCACCUAUAUGCGCCGCAGCCUGGCUGACGGAUGCCAGGAAUUCCCAAUGAGAGGCGAUGGGGGGAAGUUUGGGCAACUCGGCCUGGCCAAUGGAGAGCCUCGGGAGGGCUCUGCCCCUUCCCCCCGCCCCCGCCCGCCUCGGCUCCCGCAGCGCAAGUGUGUCCGCCUAGCUCAGUGUGCGUGGAGAUUAGGUCCAAGCGCCAGCCCGGAGGCAGGCAGUCCGCGAGCCCAGCCGCCGCUGUCGCCGCCAGUAGCAGCCUUCGCCAGCAGCGCCGCGGCGGAACCGGGCGCAGGGGAGCGAGCCCGGCCCCGCCAGCCCAGCCCAGACCUACUCCCUCCCCACGCCAGGGCAGCCGCCGUUGCUCAGAGAGAAGGUGGAGGAAGAAAUCCAGCCCCUAGCACGCGCGCACCAUCAUGGACCAUUAUGAUUCUCAGCAAACCAACGAUUACAUGCAGCCAGAAGAGGACUGGGACCGGGACCUGCUCCUGGACCCGGCCUGGGAGAAGCAGCAGAGAAAGACAUUCACGGCAUGGUGUAACUCCCACCUCCGGAAGGCGGGGACGCAGAUUGAGAACAUCGAAGAGGACUUCCGGGAUGGCCUGAAGCUCAUGCUGCUGCUGGAGGUCAUCUCAGGUGAACGCUUGGCCAAGCCAGAGCGAGGCAAGAUGAGGGUGCACAAGAUCUCCAACGUCAACAAGGCCCUGGAUUUCAUAGCCAGCAAAGGUGUCAAACUGGUGUCCAUCGGAGCCGAAGAAAUCGUGGAUGGGAAUGUGAAGAUGACCCUGGGCAUGAUCUGGACCAUCAUCCUGCGCUUUGCCAUCCAGGACAUCUCCGUGGAAGAGACUUCAGCCAAGGAAGGGCUGCUCCUGUGGUGUCAAAGAAAGACGGCCCCUUACAAAAACGUCAACAUCCAGAACUUCCACAUAAGCUGGAAGGAUGGCCUCGGCUUCUGUGCCUUGAUCCACCGACACCGGCCCGAGCUGAUUGACUACGGGAAGCUGCGGAAGGAUGAUCCACUCACAAAUCUGAAUACAGCUUUUGAUGUGGCAGAGAAGUACCUGGACAUCCCCAAGAUGCUGGAUGCCGAAGACAUCGUUGGAACUGCCCGACCGGAUGAGAAAGCCAUCAUGACUUACGUGUCUAGCUUCUACCACGCCUUCUCUGGAGCCCAGAAGGCGGAGACAGCAGCCAAUCGCAUCUGCAAGGUGUUGGCCGUCAACCAGGAGAACGAGCAGCUUAUGGAAGACUACGAGAAGCUGGCCAGUGAUCUGUUGGAGUGGAUCCGCCGCACCAUCCCGUGGCUGGAGAACCGGGUGCCCGAGAACACUAUGCAUGCCAUGCAGCAGAAGCUGGAGGACUUCCGGGACUACCGGCGCCUGCACAAGCCGCCCAAGGUGCAGGAGAAGUGCCAGCUGGAGAUCAACUUCAACACGCUGCAGACCAAGCUGCGGCUCAGCAACCGGCCUGCCUUCAUGCCCUCCGAGGGCAGGAUGGUCUCGGACAUCAACAAUGCCUGGGGCUGCCUGGAGCAGGUGGAGAAGGGCUAUGAGGAGUGGUUGCUGAACGAGAUCCGGAGGCUGGAGCGACUGGACCACCUGGCAGAGAAGUUCCGGCAGAAGGCCUCCAUCCACGAGGCCUGGACUGACGGCAAAGAGGCCAUGCUGCGACAGAAGGACUAUGAGACGGCCACCCUCUCGGAGAUCAAGGCCCUGCUCAAGAAGCAUGAGGCCUUCGAGAGUGACCUGGCUGCCCACCAGGACCGCGUGGAGCAGAUUGCCGCCAUCGCACAGGAACUCAAUGAGCUGGACUAUUAUGACUCACCCAGUGUCAACGCCCGUUGCCAAAAGAUCUGUGACCAGUGGGACAAUCUGGGGGCCCUAACUCAGAAGCGAAGGGAAGCUCUGGAGCGGACCGAGAAACUGCUGGAGACCAUUGACCAGCUGUACUUGGAGUAUGCCAAGAGGGCCGCACCCUUCAACAACUGGAUGGAGGGGGCCAUGGAGGACCUGCAGGACACCUUCAUUGUGCACACCAUUGAGGAGAUCCAGGGACUGACCACAGCCCAUGAGCAGUUCAAGGCCACCCUCCCUGAUGCUGAUAAGGAGCGUCUGGCUAUCCUGGGCAUCCACAACGAGGUGUCCAAGAUUGUCCAGACCUACCACGUCAAUAUGGCGGGCACCAACCCCUACACAACCAUCACGCCUCAGGAGAUCAAUGGCAAAUGGGACCACGUGCGGCAGCUGGUGCCUCGGAGGGACCAAGCUCUGACGGAGGAGCACGCCCGACAGCAGCACAAUGAGAGGCUACGCAAGCAGUUUGGGGCACAGGCCAAUGUCAUCGGGCCCUGGAUCCAGACCAAGAUGGAGGAGAUUGGGAGGAUCUCCAUUGAGAUGCACGGGACCCUGGAGGACCAGCUCAGCCACCUGCGGCAGUAUGAGAAGAGCAUUGUCAACUACAAGCCAAAGAUUGAUCAGCUGGAGGGCGACCACCAGCUCAUCCAGGAGGCGCUCAUCUUCGACAACAAGCACACCAACUAUACCAUGGAGCACAUCCGUGUGGGCUGGGAGCAGCUGCUCACCACCAUCGCCAGGACCAUCAACGAGGUGGAGAACCAGAUCCUGACCCGGGAUGCCAAGGGCAUUAGCCAGGAGCAGAUGAAUGAGUUCCGGGCCUCCUUCAACCACUUUGACCGGGAUCACUCCGGCACACUGGGUCCCGAGGAGUUCAAAGCCUGCCUCAUCAGCUUGGGUUAUGAUAUUGGCAACGACCCCCAGGUACUCGCCUCCUGCAUGGAGCACGCUCAGGGGUGGCGUCUGGGGCGAGAAAUAAUGCGUUUUUCCUUUUUCUCUUCUCUCUGUCUGGAUCUCCUGUCCCCGUCCUAUGGGCCAUGGGGCUCGUCCUCUCCUGCUGUCUCUGUCUGCCCUGUCACUGGUCCACCCUCUGCCCUCUGCUGUCUUUCGUGGCAACCUGCUGGGUGCCCACUGUCUUCCAUCCUCACCGCUCUUCAUCCCAUGGGUGGAUUUUUGCAUCUCCCUGCUCUGUCUUCCUCCUGUCUUUGGACAUUGCCACCCAUGUGUGUUCGCAUCUUCUCCUCCUAUGUUCCUUUCCCCAUCCUGAUCCCCCAAACCAUAAACCUCAUCCCUGCUCUGGCCAUCUGUUUCUGUCUUCCUGGCCCCGGGCCGGCCCUUCCUCUUCCUGCCUUCCCGACCCUCCUUGUGUCUUGGUACCACUGCCCCCCACAGAAGAAGACAGGCAUGAUGGACACGGAUGAUUUCCGCGCCUGCCUGAUCUCCAUGGGUUACAACAUGGUAACGUAAACCCCACCCUCUGUCUGCCCUGGUGAGGAGGCAGCCAGCUGGCGGGAGCGGCCAAGUCCCAGGAGUGGCAGGCUGGAGGCCCUCAGGCUAGGGAUUGCCCUCCCUGGAGGAGCCACAAGGCCCAUGUCCUUGGGGAAGAUGGCUCCCUGAAAGCCGGCCCGGCCACCGGCCUGUGUGUAUCCAGGAGCCCUGGCCUCCUCGUCUCAGUCUCUGUGCUACUUCAUCUUCUGGUACUUCCUCACUCCCACUGUGGACAGCUGGGCUGACCCUGAGACUGGCAGGAAGGACUGGUGGUGUGGGACGUCCCAGGUUGGGGGUUGGCCUGCGUCACCUCACAUGGAGCAUGGAAAUUGAGACCUUCCACCUCCGUCCUGGCGGUGGCUCCGGUCGGGCCUGCUGCCCCUCUGGAUUGUCCCAGGCCGUUCCCCACUCCCCAACCUUCCUAUUCUGUCCCCCCUCACACAGACAUUCUGAGCAGGGCAGUCAGGUGACUCCUGGGCCAUGGUGCCUAGUGAAGAGCUCACAAGCUGCCCAGUGCAGGGCAUGGGCAUGGGGCUAGGAGCAGUGAACCUGGGAGUAAAUCCCAGCCCUGCCAUCAUUAGCGUGUAGCCUCAGGUGAAGUGAGGGAACCCUACAGGACUGUUGCAAGGGUUAAAUGAAGGAAUUUAAGUCUGUGCAUGUAUCUGGCACAUAGAAAAUACAGUGUGGUGGGGAGAGAACAGAUUCUAGAACCAGACUGCCUGAGUUCAAAUCCCAGUUCUGCUGCUUCCUGGCUGUGUGACCCUGGGCAAGUCACUUAGCCUGUCUGGGCUUCAGAUUUCUCAUCUGUACAAUGAAGAUAAUAAAAUACCUACCUUUAUGGUUGUAGUAAGGAUUAAAUGAAUUGAAAUAAAGCUUUUAGGUUAAUACUUGGCAUAUAAGAUAUGCUGCAUAGGUGUCAGCCAUUGUUAAUCGUUGUGAUCACUGUAGUUAUUAUCAAUAUGAUUAUUUGCUGUAAGAGGAACCCAGGCAUCUGCAGGGCAUGGGAAACCCUGAGCUAGGUCUCUCCUCUUGGGUGUUGUGUCCCCAUCAUACCCUUAGGACAACCCAGGUUAGGUCAGGGGGAUGUGCCCUCCUCUUCCAGCCACAGGCUGAUCUAAGCCCCCAGGGUCUUCAGUCCCUAUGAGAUAUUCUCAGCAGGCCAUGGGCUGACAGGCCUGGGGUUGGCUGUUUCCUCCAGGGAGAAGCAGAAUUUGCCCGCAUCAUGAGCAUUGUGGACCCCAACCGCCUGGGGGUAGUGACAUUCCAGGCCUUCAUUGACUUCAUGUCCCGCGAGACAGCCGAUACAGAUACAGCAGACCAAGUCAUGGCUUCCUUCAAGAUCCUGGCUGGGGACAAGAACUACAUUACCGUGGACGAGCUGCGCCGCGAGCUGCCGCCUGACCAGGCCGAGUACUGCAUCGCGCGGAUGGCCCCCUACACCGGCCCCGACUCCGUGCCAGGUGCUCUGGACUACAUGUCCUUCUCCACGGCACUGUACGGCGAGAGUGACCUCUAAUCCACCCUGCCCGGCCGCCCUCGUCCCGUGCGCCGUGCCCUGCCUUGCACCUCCGCCGUCGCCCAUCUCCUGCCUAGGUUCGGUUUCAGCUCCCAGCCUCCACCGGGGCGAGCUGGGGCCCACGUGGCAUCGAGCCUCCCUGCCCGCGAAGUGACAGUUUACAAAAUUAUUUUCUGCAAAAAAGAAAAAAAAAAGUUACGUUGAAAACCAAAAAACUACAUAUUUUAUUAUAGAAAAAGUAUUUUUUUCUCCACCAAAUGGAAAAAAAGAGGAAAGAUUAACUAUUUGCACCGAAAUGUCUUGUUUUGUUGUGACAUAGGAAAAUAACCAAGCACAAAGUUAUCUUCCAUCCUUUUUACUGAUUUUUUUUUCUUCUAUCUGUUCCAUCUGCUGUAUUCAUUUCUCCAAUCUCAUGUCCACUUUGGUGUGGGAGUCGGGGUAGGGGGUACUCUUGUCAAAAGGCACAUUGGUGCAUGUGUGUUUGCUAGCUCACUUGUCCAUGAAAAUAUUUUAUGAUAUUAAAGAAAAUCUUUUGAAAUGGCUGUUUUUUAAGGAAGAGAAUUUAUGUGGCUUCUCAUUUUUAAAUCCCCAGAGGUGUGACUAGUCUCUUUAUCAGCACACACUUAAAAAAUUUUAAUAUUGUCUAUAAAAAAUAGGACAAACUUGGAGAAUAUGGACAACUUUGAUAUUGCUUGGCAAGAAUGGUAUUAAAACAACCACACUCCUA